rnacentral:rRNA from 1 species
AGCGAACGCUGGCGGCAGGCCUAACACAUGCAAGUCGAACGAACUCUUCGGAGUUAGUGGCGGACGGGUGAGUAACACGUGGGAACGUGCCUUUUGGUUCGGAAUCACUCAGGGAAACUUGUGCUAAUACCGAAUGUGCCCUUCGGGGGAAAGAUUUAUCGCCAUUAGAGCGGCCUGCGUCUGAUUAGCUAGUUGGUGAGGUAACGGCUCACCAAGGCGACGAUCAGUAGCUGGUCUGAGAGGAUGACCAGCCACACUGGGACUGAGACACGGCCCAGACUCCUACGGGAGGCAGCAGUGGGGAAUCUUGCGCAAUGGGCGAAAGCCUGACGCAGCCAUGCCGCGUGAAUGAUGAAGGUCUUAGGAUUGUAAAAUUCUUUCACCGGGGACGAUAAUGACGGUACCCGGAGAAGAAGCCCCGGCUAACUUCGUG